UGACUCCUACGGGACGCAGCAGUAGGGAAUCUUCCACAAUGGGCGAAAGCCUGAUGGAGCAACGCCGCGUGGGUGAAGAAGGUCUUCGGAUCGUAAAACCCUGUUGUUAGAGAAGAAAGUGCGUGAGCGUAACUGUUCACGUUUCGACGGUAUCUAACCAGAAAGCCACGGCUAACUACGUGCCCGCAGCCGCGGUAAUACGUAGGUGGCAAGCGUUAUCCGGAUUUAUUGGGCGUAAAGAGAACGCAGGCGGUCUUUUAAGGCUGAUGUG
rnacentral:rRNA from 1 species